rnacentral:tRNA from 1 species
UAACAGCUUCCGUGGCGCAAUCGGCUAGCGCGUUCGGCUGUUAACCGAAAGGUUGGUGGUUCAAGCCCACCCGGGAGCGUGUA